GAUGAAGAAAGUAGCGAAAUGCGAUAAGUAAUGUGAAUUGCAGAAUUCAGUGAAUCAUCGAAUCUUUGAACGCACAUUGCGCCCGCCAGUAUUCUGGCGGGCAUGCCUGUUCGAGCGUCAUUUCAACCAUCAAGCCCCAGGCUUGUGUUGGGGACCUGCGGCUGCCGCAGGCCCUGAAAACCAGUGGCGGGCUCGCUGUCACACCGGGCGUAGUAGAUUUUAUCUCGCUCAGGGCGUGCUGCGGGUUCCGGCCGUUAAAAAGCCUUUUUUACCCAAGGUUGACCUCGGAUCAGGUAGGAAGACCCGCUGAACUUAAGCAUAUCAAUAAGCGGAGGA
rnacentral:misc_RNA from 1 species